AAGCCCUUUUUCUUUCAAAACUGCAGGACGGCCUUUAUACGUGGCCUUUUCCAGUUUACGCAGCUAAAUGAAGUGGUUUC